GACUAGUAGGUGGUGGAGGGUGGUGAAGAGAUAAAGUGGGACUAUAGAAUAGGUUGUGGUAGUGUUGGUGGUGAGGGGGAUGUGGAGUAGAUAAGGCUUAUAAUUUAGCGUGAUGGGUCUGUGUGUGUUAAAAUGGUAGUGGUGCGGAGGUCGAUUUCGGAUUUGUAAGGUUAUGGUUAAAAUGUGGGUGAUAAUAUAUCGUUAUGAGAGAGUGAGUGAGUGGUAUUGUAGUAUAUAGGAAGGCGGUGAUAGAAGAUGAAGAUGGUGAUAGGUUGAGAUGAGUAGGUGGAGAUGUGGUUGUGUAGCGAAUGGUGAAACUUAGUUUAUGUUCGUGAAGUUGCAGUGUGAAGGCAGGGGAAGGGGUGAUAGGGUUAUCAGGUUAUGUUCGGGUGGUUAAGAUUAUGGAUUAGGACGACGGGUUAAGGUUGUUAUAAGAGAUGGUGUUGAUAAUAAAACGACAUGAGAGUUAUGAAUAAAGGGUUUUUUUUUUGUUUAGUGGAGAAGGUAGUUAGUAAAUAUGGUAUUAUGUGGAGAUUGAAACAGUUAAAAUCGGUAGCUUGUGGCGAGUGUUGUGUAGCGGAUGCGAAGAGGUGAUGGCGGCAUUAGUGAAAUCUGAUGAAGGAGGAUAAUGUGAGUGUGAACGGAAUGAUAAGCAGGGAUAUUGUGAGAGACUGUGUAGUGCUUUUGAGAAAGUGUGUUGUGUGUAGGGUAGGAAAGUAAUAUGUAGGAUAAGAGAAAGAAAAGUGUUUAGAUUGUAGAGAGGAAAUGGUGAGCGGUAAUGGAGAGGGUGAGGUAUGUGUGGAGGUAUGUAUCUAAUGAAGUGUGUAAAUGGUAUGAUUGACAGGCGAAAUUAAAUGAUAAUAGAGUUUGAAUAAGUGUUGCGAAAACGCCGAGAAAAAAUAAAAAAUACUGUAGCGGUGAAAGGGAGUAUUGCGGACAAUGGAAAAUGAUGCUAGUAAAACGGCGAGAAGAAGAUGAAGUAGGGGCGCGGGAGGCGGCAAAGGGAGCGCGGUGAGAGUGGAGAUGACGCUGAAACGUUAACAAGACAGGAAGAUGAAGCGAUAAUCGGUGGUAAGAGAUAAGGGGAAAAGGCAAAGGCAUUAAGAAAACAACCGGCAUGUAUAUGCAAAAUAAACAUA